rnacentral:lncRNA from 1 species
GAACAUGCUAAUUCAUUGCUUAUUUAAAUUAUAUUUAUUUGAAUUUUCAUUAUAGAAUUAGAAGUAUCAAUAUGUUCAUUUAUUGCCGUUUUUAACCAUUCAAAUGCCAAGUCUUCAUGUUCCCCCUUAGUCGAGAAUGACCAAAAGCUGUCAUGAAGGUCCCCAUGUAGAUUUCUUGUAUUUUUGGUAAUUGUUAUGGGGGUUAAAAAUCAUAUGAUGUGGAGCUUAUUUUUCAUGGACACUGUCAAAUUCAGAACCCAUUACCGGUAUGGCUGAUUUGCAGCAACAACAAAACGAUUCGUACG